GGUCCAAAGUCCUUCCACAG
rnacentral:misc_RNA from 1 species